AACGAACGCUGGCCGCAUGCCUAACACAUGCAAGUCGAACGCGAACCUCGGGUUUAGCGGCGUACGGGUGCGUAACGCGUGGGAACCUGCUCUUAGACUCGGAAUAACUUCCCGAAUGGGGUGCUAAUACCGGUUAAUGUAUCUGGUAAAAAGAUUUAUCGCCGUUGGCUGGGUCCGCGUUGGAUUUGCUAGUUGGUAGGGUAAAAGCCUACCAAGGUGACGAUCCAUAGCUGGUCUGCGAGGAUGAUCAGCCAGACGGGGACUGAGACACGGCCCAGACUCCGACGGGAGGCAGCAGUGGGGAAUAGUGGACGAUGGGCGAAAGCCUGAUCCAGCAAUGCCGCGUGAGUGAUGAAGGCCGGAGGGUUGUAAAGCUCUAUUACCCGGGAUGAUAAUGACAGUACCGGGAGAAUAAGCGCCGGCUAACUCCGUG
rnacentral:rRNA from 1 species